GACACCCAUGGCCUUUCCAUGUCUAAGUGUCAGCAUAUUGGACUACUGCUGGACUACUACAUAUUGGAUAGUGCACUAUAUGAUGGCAACAGCUGGACAACUGCUGGACUGCUGUGUCUAAUUAUUAUAGCAGAUGGCUCUGUCUUGACAAUUAAUUUUGAAAUGUACAACAUGCUGAGGAUACAAAUUUUAUCCUAUUUAUACCAGGAUAAAGAUUUAAUAAUUUUAAGAUAUAAGAAUUUUAAAGGGCAAUACAUACCAAUAAAUAAGUGUUAAGGUAAAAUAAGCACUUUUAACUGUCUAUUGUCACAGCAUUAAAAAAAAUCCUGAUAAUGGAAUCAUCACUUUAAGUCCUGCUAUAACUAAUCAAUGCUAUACUGACAAUGAUAGCUUUUGUCAAAUUUGACUUUUUCCCCUCAAUGGACUCUCAAGAGAGGAAUUUGAUGGAGGAAAUAAGUUAUUUUAUUUCUAUGUCAUAAGAACUACUUCCUCUUGAACUGAUUAAAUAAACGUUUCUAAUACACAUCUGUAUUUGAUAAAAAUUUGCCAUUUCUCAGUGAGAAAAUUGCUAUAAAAGUUUAAGUGUGACA
rnacentral:lncRNA from 1 species